AUUUUGAAGAAGAAAACUCUAGAGCAGAAAAGAGGAGGGAGCCUGCAGCAGAGACGGGGGUCAUGUGUGGGGAAUGAUCACUUCAGCCACUGUGAAGUCAGGUGGGCUGAGCGAUGUGCAACCAGGCACAGGUAAGCCCCUGAAUUAUUUUCUGAUCUACUUGUAUGUUCAUAUGCUCACCUGUUCCUCCUUGGACCCAUGACCUUCAUUAAAGAGAAGGCAGAUUUGUCCAAACGCAAGGAAUAGAAAACUCAGAAGUCCACUGGACUAUUCAGGAAUUAGAUCAUAACUGUGACCUUACUAUCUAACCAGCCGACUUAACUGGUAUGUAGCUAUAGGUUGUUUUUAACAGAUGUACUGAGGUAUAAUUGACUACAAUAAGUUGUGCAUAUUUAAAGUGUAUAAUUUGAUAGGUUUUGACACAAACACACAUAUAUAUGCAUAUGAAUAAGCAUAUACAUAUAUAUACUUCCUGAAUCAUCACCCCAAUCAAGUUAAUGAAUAUAUCCAUCAUUUUCAGUUUGCAUAUUGUUUUGAGAUGUUAUAAUCAAUUACUUUCCAUUUCUAUUAUUUUCAUAAUAAUAACUGUUAUUAUUAUUAUUAGGGAGUGAUGAUUAGGCAGAUGAAAUGACUAUUAACUUUCUUUCCCAGCAAAACUUCAUUUCAUUCCCACCUGCUUAUGAAUGGAAAAGAUCGUAUGGACUUGAGCAUCAGGAUGUACGCAUGAGAAACAUCUUCCCUAAGUUCACUUGUCCUCUUGGGCCAAGGAUGCUGAUGUUCCACAUGUCUAUGGAGCUUGCCUUUUACCCUCAGAGCCAGAGACCAUUUUUAAGGAUGACGCAUAUGUGGCUAUAUAGGUCAAGGCCCCAUCAGUUUCCAGCACUGAAGCUUUGCCUAGGCAAUAUGGAUAUGUUGGACAAAUGGACAAUGACUUGCCUAGAAAUCAACAGAACUUGAAGGUGGGAUAGAUAUGAAGGUUGCAGAGGAACGAGUGAUUGAGAAUGACUGUGAAAGCCAUUCUAAUUUACCAAACAUUUGUUUUAUGAUUUCUUGAUACUAUAGUUUCAGAGGCUUUGUCUAAAGCCAAGAUAUUUAAUGGAUCUUUAAGUUACACAGUUGUUUUUACUAGGAG
rnacentral:lncRNA from 1 species